rnacentral:lncRNA from 1 species
UAAGAGUAAACUAUAGUUUUGUGAUUACCACCACCAUUGAUUACAACAUUUCAACACAAUGAGCAGAAAAAGAGAUACAGUUUUUCACCAUAAAAUUUAUUAGAAAAAGAAAGGUUACAACAUUAGAAGUCCCAAGAUGCAUCACCAAUCAUAACUAUAAAGCAGUGCAAUUACAAACUACAACCUUCACCUUACUCAAAUGAAGUUGAACAAGUUAAAGGAGCAGGUAGCAAAUGCACAACUAAGGCUUAAGCACUUGUACAGCUAGAAAGGGCUAAAAAACCACCGAGAAAGUCUCACACAAACUCAAAACUGUUAACGAGUCGAAGCAUUACGCAAUCAAGGCUACAGAAGAUGCAAGGAAAAGGCUAAGCAGAUUGAAGAAGCGAAUUCUGGCAUUCUUCCAAGACCUGAUGGAGCUAGGAGCUAGGACUUGGAAACUGCAAGGGAACAAUACGUGAUAGUAAUUACUGAGCUUGAUGCAGCUAAACAAGAAUUGAAGAAGGUUCGUCAAGACUGUGAUGCAUCCUUAGAAGCGAAAAUUGCUGCCUUAAACCAAACAGAAGAACCUGAACAUGCAGCUAUAAGGCAAUGUCCAAACAAAACAAAUUUUCACAUAGAAACUUGAUUAAUAGACAAGAAAUGCAAAUAAGUAGUGCUGUAAAUGGAACUAGAAAUGUAGAUGAUCACUAUAUAAUAGUGGUAAAUAUAUGAAAAAUAUAUAUAGAUAAAAAAGUGCCCAAUUUCAAGGGCCAAGCCAAGUCACUAAACAAAAGACAAAGCACAACAACUUUUCUGGAGGAGUUCAAACCAAAAGCAAAUAUGCUUUGAAAUAUUGCACUGAACUCUCAAGUUAUCAAAUCUAUAUGUUUUUGGCUCAAUUUUUUUUAACAAAUAACAGGAACUGUAAAAAAUAAAAUAAAAUAAAAUAAAAGAUUAUGGGGUUACCUUAUAUCACUUUCCUUGCAAUUUGAAAUUUAAUUAUGCAAAAGAGUCGACCUCAAACACAGGCAACCGACAAAUAAGAAAAAGAACCCAGAAUUGGAUCAUGACAAUAAUAAGGCAAUGUCCAAACAAAAUUUUAACGAAAUCCAUAGAUAUACACACACUAACUCUUGUAAAAUAAUAAAUAAGUACAAAAAUCAAACCAAAGCAAGGGAAUAAAAAGAAAACCCACAAAUCAAAGAAUCAAAGAAGGCCAAAUGAAACGUGAGGCUUAGACAGAAAGAGCUCUGUAUUUGGUUCUAAACUAAGACUGAAACUAAUGGAUUUGGGUGGAUUAGGCUUAUUCUUUUUUUUUAACGAGGGUUUAAGAAGGGUUUCUUGAUUUUGUAUUUUGAGGUCAAAAAACGAUGGAGAGGAAGCAUGAUUUUGAACGAGGGUGAUAAGUGUAAUUAAGGGAGCAUAAUUUUUGUUGUCUAUUCCUUCUAUUACUGAAUUGCAAUUCAGAGGGGAGGCCAACGAAUUGCUAUUCAGGCUUUGCGCAGAAUAGAGGGUGUUACGGGGUAGAAUAAUAACAGAAAAAAAAGAAUUAGC